rnacentral:rRNA from 1 species
GUAUCUUUGGAGUUGGCCCCUGUCUAUGUUCCUUGGAACAGGACGUCACAGAGGGUGAGAAUCCCGUGCGAUGGGGAGACCAAUUCUUUGUAAAGUUCCUUCGAAGAGUCGAGUUGUUUGGGAAUGCAGCUCUAAGUGGGUGGUAAAUUCCAUCUAAAGCUAAAUAUUGGCGAGAGACCGAUAGCGAACAAGUACAGUGAUGGAAAGAUGAAAAGAACUUUGAAAAGAGAGUGAAAAAGUACGUGAAAUUGUUGAAAGGGAAGGGCUUUUGAUCAGACUUGGUGUUUAACGAUCUCUUCUCCUUGUGGGAGGGGCUCUUGUUUUAUACUGGGCCAGCAUCGGUUUGGAUGGCAGGAUAAUGACAUUGGAACGUGGCUUCAUUCGUGAAGUGUUAUAGCCUUUGUUGAUACUGCCUAUCUAGACCGAGGACUGCGUCUUUGACUAGGAUGCUGGCGUAAUGAUUAAAAGCCGCCCGUCUUGAAACACGGACCAAGGAGUCUAACGUCUAUGCGAGUGUUUGGGUGUAAAACCCGUACGCGUAAUGAAAGUGAACGUAGGUGAGGGCCCGCAAGGGUGCAUCAUCGACCGAUCCUGAUGUUUUCAGAUGGAUUUGAGUAAGAGCAUAGCUGUUGGGACCCGAA